UGAGUAGGCGGUUAUAUAUGUCAGGUGUAAAAGGCGUAGGCUUAACUUACGUAAGCACUUGAAACUGUAUGACUUGAGAGCAGGAGAGGUAAGUGGAAUUCCUAGUGUAGCGGUGAAAUGCGUAGACAUUAGGAGGAACACCAGUGGCGAAGGCGACUUACUGGACUGUAACUGACGCUGAGUCACGAAAGUGUGGGUAGCAAACAG
rnacentral:rRNA from 1 species